CGCGGAACGAGAGAAUGGGGAAGCGGGUGAAGGCCCGUUUGGAGGAGUUCCCUGACAAAGGCUCCUUCUUUGCCUUUGGAGCUGGUCAUUUCAUGGGCGAGAGAAAACACGGUGCUGGAUAUUUUGCAGCGCGAAGGCUCUGCGGUAGAACACGCCCCAGCCCGACGCCCUGUCAACAAUUCUAGAGGCCAGAAGUCCCCGCCUGGAAGUGCAGAGCUGUCUGGGAAGGACGAGCAGAAGUCCCGGAAAAGGCGGAGGCGGCCCCAGCAGAGGCAGCGACUCUGACCCCUGGGUGCGCCUGGAGGAGAGGUGGGGCGGGUGGGCUGCCCAGGCCAGCCUCCGCCCUUGCCCUGGGGGUGCGGGUGUGAGCUGACCCAGGAACGCCCCUCACACUGGGGGGGCUGGGAGCCCCCCUGUGGAGCAGCCAUUCCCUUUCCUCAUGGGCCCUGGCACCCAUCCUCUGCCCACUGCGACAGAGAUGAACCUGGAUUUAAGAUAGUUGCUUCAAGCCAGAGCAAGGGCAACGCCUUUAUACUUGCUAAAGAACAAAUGUGGGGGUAUGGAUGGUCUGUUAAAAGCAGACAGAGGCUGGAAUACAGUUUGCAAAGAACUUCAAUUUUCCAGCCCCCUUUCCACCGCAGAUCAUAGCUUUGCAGAGCUGGAAGGAACUCUAUAAAUGGGCAUGUUUAAGCCUCAUGGUGUACAGGGAGAGUGGUGACCACAGAAUGUGCUCUUAGAGAUGGCUAGUGGGUGGAUCAGAGGUGGGCAGAAGAGCUGGGGCCUGCAGGGCACAGGGCUGCUGGAAGGACCAUCCCAGAGAGGCUGGGAUCCAGGAUCCAAUUAGGUUGAUCCCAAACUUUGAGUUUCUCCCAUGUGCCUGGUGUUGUGUUGGGUGUUAUGUCUGUGGGGCGAACCAGACACUUGCCCUGCCUUCAUGGACUCACAGUCUGGUGAGGAAGCCAGAUUUUACGUAAAUUUGCAAAGGGGAGCAUAGCGUGCCGUGGGAAUGUGUGUGUGUGUGUGUGUGUUGGAGGUUACUACUAGAGUCACAGGGGGCAGUAAAAGCCUCCCUGAGGAAUCAUCCUUUGGCUGAUAGGAGUGGAAGACAGCAAAGCAGGGCCUGGUGAAUAGCUUUUGUGUCUGGGUUAGCAGAGCAGGGCUGCAUAGGUGCUCAGUAAAUGUUAAGUGAAUGAGUUAGUGAACAACUGAAUAGGGAAGGGGAGGAGGCAGGGGCAGAGGGAACAGUGUGAAAGCUUGGUGUGGAGGGAGCAAUUCUGUUAAAGAAAUCAAGAUAAAGUAAUUCAGGCUGGAGCCUGGGAAGGGCGGGGGCAGUGGGAUCACACGGGUCUGGGGAGGUGAACAGAGAGGGAAGUAGGGAGCCACUGAAGGGUUUGGAGCAGGCAUCUUAUAUGUGGUGUGAUUUGCACUUUAAAUGGACAGAACCUGGCAGCCAAAUGGGACCUGCAGAACAGGGGCAGCUCUGUUGGUGCCCAUGUCCCAGGGUGGCUUCUCAACAAUCCUUCCUUGAUGGACGGAUAAACUGACCUGUUCAGUACUUUUUCAGCCUGAGCCAUUUUCUUUCAAGGUGGCCAUGGAUUGGGCACUUUGCACUUCAGCUGAGCAGAAAGGGAGAGGUAAGGCUGAAGUCAUGUCUUCAGUGCCUGCUGUCGUGUCCUGCAUGCCUUGGGCAGGUGGGAGGCAGAGACCCAGGGAGGACUCUUCAUGGCCUGGCUCACCCUCUGUGGCGGCCAGUGAGGAAGGUCCCGUCUCAGAUUACCCAGAAGCUCAUGAUUAACAAACUCUGGGUUGGGCCUUCUUAUGCUAAGACUUUUAAUAGUGCUUAAACCAAGAACCAAAUAGCCAGGAACGGUUG